AGGCCGGGGUAAUUCUAUUUCUCUUUCAUUUUCUUCUUCUUUCUUCUUCUCUUCUCUGCUCUUUUCUGUUCUUCAGUCGAGCGUUGGUUUGAGAAACAAAUCGGUGAUUAGGAGGUCGUAUAUAGAGCAUAUGGGUUGUAUUGAUUGUUGUUGAGGGUGUUGAAGUUAGUUUAAGCUUGGAAGAAGAAGAUUUUGAUGUUGUUGUAAUUGAUUUAGGCUUCUGGAGAUGAUUGAGUUUCUGAGAAUUUGAUGAUGAAAUCGAGCAUUAGAUGAUGGGUUUUCAUCAUUGAGAACAAGGUAAAAUAAUUAUCAACUGUUUUCAGUUGUUUCAACGAUGAGCUGGAGAGCUAGGGUUUGUAAGAUGAACUCAGAGAUUAUCCAGAAGAUGAAAUUGGUGUUCCAAGGAAGUGAUUAGUGAUGGGUUUUUGUGUAUUGAGAAGAAGAAAGGACUUUUGGUGUUUAAUUUCCGAUCCACAGUGAAGAAAAGGUUAAUUAGGGUUUCUUGUUCUUCCCCAAAUUGAAUUUAGGGUUUUGAAGCGGAGAUCGAUUGGAGCUCAUGAUUGAAGAUGUUAGCGGAAAUGUUUAUAAGAAGGUGAUAUGAUUAUUAUUGGUUUUGAAAUGAUUGGUGCUGGAGAAGGAUUUAUCUGAGGUAAUUGACCCUCUCUGUGAUUUCAGUUAAGCUAUUAAUUCAUUUCAAUUGUUGAUUUUGAUUUUAUGAAAUGGUUGUUAAGCUAAGAAUUGAAAUGAUUAGGGUGAGGGUGUUAUGGAGAUGUAGUAUACAGUUUAGUCUUAUGUUGAAUUUCAGGGAAGAGGAAGUGGAUGUUAAUGAGUGUGUGAUGAAUUACUACUACAGAUACAAAUAUGGAGUUUUGAGACAAGUGAUAGAUGUAGCAAGAUAGUGAGCUGUGUUAUAGGAGUCUGUCUUGAUGAACUUAGAGGUAGCAGUGAGUACUAUUGAUGAUGAAGUUUAAUUGACAGGAGAAGCUUUUACUUAGUGGAUUUGAAUUAUAAGAUUGUUGUGUUGAGAAGUUUAGUAAUGAAACUUCAGUGACGAGUAUUGGAGCUGGAUGUGGUUGUAGAAAUAGAAACGGAUUGGUAUUGCAGAUGACGAUGAAGUUGUUUGUGUAGAUAGAGGUAAAGAUAUGUUAUGAAUUGGUUUAGAUGAAUGAGUUGAGGAUAUUGGAGCUGAAAUAGUUGAAAGUUACUUUUAUAUAUUUGUUUGUGCAACUAAAUAUAUGGUGAUGGUUGUGUUUAAGUUACAGUUGAGAUGAAAGUGUAUGGCUAGUGGUUCUAUUUGUUGAUCGUAUGAAAUGAGAAGAUGGAUUGGGAAUUGAAUGUGGCAGAGAUGUCAGAAGUGUAAUAGGUACUGAAGUUGUAACUGAAGAACAGAAGAAGAUAUAGUGGUAUGGAGUUGAUAGUGAAGUUGGUGAAGCUAUAAUUGUGUGUUGAGCUGGGAGAGUAGAAAAUAUGUGGCAGUGGUGAUUGUAUGGUCACUUUUGGUAGUCUGUUGGAAUCUUGUAGCUAGCUACUGCAAUUGCAGUUAGUCUACAUUAACAACGAUCUAUUCAAAGGAUGAACCAGUGGAUCGUGGAUCUCGAGGUAGGCGUGGCUUGUCAUCAAAAGAGUUUCAGGGACAAAUGAGGUUGCGCAGCGAAAGCUUCAGGGGUCGAGUUCGUUAGUUGGUUAACUUCUACUAUGGUUACUAUGUUGUAUAUUCUGUUUGUAAACCAAAUGACUAUUAUAUAUGUAUCAUUUGAGAGGAGUUCUUAUUUAUAUAUUUCUGAGCGAGGUUAGUUAUUGGGUUAAGUUUUGUAGCAGAUUUC